GACGGAGGAUGCAAGUGUUAUCCGGAGUCACUGGGCGUAAAGCGUCUGUAGGUGGUUUAAUAAGUCAACUGUUAAAUCUUGAGGCUCAACCUCAAAAUCGCAGUCGAAACUAUUAGGCUAGAGUAUAGUAGGGGUAAAGGGAAUUUCCAGUGGAGCGGUGAAAUGCGUAGAGAUUGGAAAGAACACCGAUGGCGAAGGCACUUUACUGGGCUAUUACUAACACUCAGAGACGAAAGCUAGGGUAGCAAAUGGG
rnacentral:rRNA from 1 species